UACGUAGGUGGCUAGCGUUGUCCGGAUUUACUGGGCGUAAAGAGCGCGCAGGCGGUCGUUCAAGUCGAGUGUGAAAGCCCCCGGCUCAACUGGGGAGGGUCACUCGAUACUGAUCGACUCGAAGGCAGGAGAGGGAAGCGGAAUUCCCGGUGUAGUGGUGAAAUGCGCAGAUAUCAGGAGGAACACCGGUGGCGAAGGCGGGUCUCUGGGCAGUAACUGACGCUGAGGAGCGAAAGCGUGGGGAGCGAACAGG
rnacentral:rRNA from 1 species